GGACCUUUGCGCGGUAUUAAGACUGAAGUUAAUAGGAUUUUAACGAUCAUUUCUUUCAAAUCCUAAUGGAAAAUGUUAACGAUGCUGCUAAGUCAUGGUCUGAUCCCGAAACCACUAGUUUGUACGAAAAGAUUCGUCCAGAUUACAAUCUGGAUUCGGUGAAAUAUCUUUUGGAAAAAGUAGGCGCUUUAAAGAAACAUUCUGGCACUGAACCUUUCACCAUUGUUGAGCUUGGUGCAGGUACUGGCAAAUUUACAAGAGCCGUUCUCAAAGUGUUGAAACAACAUUAUGUUCAAAAUUUCAAAAUCAUUGCGACGGAACCAAUAAAAUCAAUGUGUGAUAAAUUCAAAGAAAUGGUACCUGAAGUUGAAAUAAUACAAUGCUCUGCAAGUGAUUUAUCAGGUUUGCCAAAUAAAUGUACAGCAGAUGCAGUUUUAGCAGCACAAUGCUUUCACUGGUUUGGAAUGGAGGGAAGAGCCCUUGAUGAGAUUCAUCAAUUAAUUAAACCUCAGGGUACUUUGGGUAUAAUCUGGAACUUACCAGAUCGUUCAGUUUCUUGGAUCAGGACUUUUGAGGAGUGGCUUGAUCCUAAAUUUAAGGCAACUAAAAUUCCUCGUCCGGCGGAUGCUGUCAUGUUUGUUCCCUUACGAAAUCAUGGAGGUUUUGGCAAUGAGCUUAUUGAUGAAACAACAUUUAAGUAUUCUAUGGAUUUUGACAUGAAAAGCUUGAUUAAUCGUUAUGAAUCCAACAGUGUUGUGUCGGCUGCCACUCCUGAAGAAAAAAAACGGAUUUUGUCCAGUAUUGAAAAUGAGCUAAAGAAUAAUAAAGAUACUAAAGAUAAAGAAAUAUUUUCAUAUCAGUAUGUUGUGAAAAUCCAUUGUUUCCAGAAGCUAUAAAUUAUUCAAGUUGUUGAACAAACACAUCCAUUUACAAUUAUAAAAUUAAAAAAUACAGUGAGAUGGGGAUGCUCUCAAGAAUCAAUGGAUAUGAAAAUGUGACUGAUCCUGUGAUCAACCAUAAACUGUGUUUCUGUGAUUUCAGACUUUGCAAAGUUAUGACAAGUUAUUAGUUAUUUGUAGGUUGUAAUAUCACAGAAUAUUUGUUAUGACGUCACAAUAAGGUUGUCAUGAUGUCUUAAGAUGUUAAUGAUAUCCAGUAUGGUUGUAAUGACGUCACGAUAAGGUUGUAGUGACGUCAUAAUAUAAUUGUAAUAAUAUCACAGUUUAGUUGUAAUGACAUCACAGCAAGGUUGUAAUGACAUCACAGCAAGGUUGUAAUGACGUCUCAAUAAGUUACUCUUAUAAUUAAAAAUUUGUUGGUAAAAUCUUAUGAAGGGGUUUGUGAUCACCACGCAUAGAUUCAUGACUUACAGAACAUAACUGGUCAAGGAGAUAGGGGUGCGCAUUGGUGGUGCUCUGCAUUUAACAACUGACUUUUGUAGAGUCUUAUAUUGUUUGUUCUCUGUCAUAUUACAGCCGAAUUUUUAUACAUAUUUCACGAAAGCUAUGGUGUCACAACCUCUUCCACGAAUGCGCACCCUAACUUAACGCUCUUUCGAGUUUAUUUUUUCCAGGGGUUUUCCGAAUUACUCAAUUAAAUCUCUCUAGGGAGUUGAAAACUUUCUAUUAUAUUUGUUUUUAAUUUGGGCACUGUCACCCCCUUUGCAAAUAAUCUCCUCCACUCACCCCCCUGGAAAAUACUCAAAUUGUCAAACGCUUGAAAGAGAUUUGGUCAACAAACCCAAAGAUAAAAGAUGGAGAAAAAUAUUUCUGUGAUGAAAGUUCAUCGUCUGCAAAAGCUUUUGAAAGAAGUCGGAGAAUGAUGAAAAGAAAUUGCAAUGUAUGUACAAACUUGACCAAAUAAUUCUGUGGAAUGCAAAAACCAUGCUUCAAACCAAAUUUUCAUGACACUUAAAGAACAAAAAGGCUACCAAAAAAGAUGCUGUUGCAAAUGCCAAAAGCAUGAAACAAGAUUAUCCAACGAUGCGAAAGCUUCUGAGAAGAAGCAUUAUUGCACCGUCUUGGCAUUUCCGAGGGGUUGAUUAUGCGUGGAAUUGGCAUCAACACUAUAAUGAUAAAGUCUCAGAGGCUUUGGCUUUUUUCGUGAAAAACUUCGAGCGUUCGUUUAAGGCUGCAAAGAACGAGUUGAUCGCUAUGUUUGGAGAGGAGAGUUUAAUUGAAAGCCGCUUACGACCCAUCGAUAGCAUCAGCCAUGAAUUAGACGUGAACGGCAACAAGACGGUCAAAGAUUUAUAUGACGUCAUAACAUGGCGGAUUACUUUGCCAACAGUUCAACAGGUUGUAGAAGCAAAAGAAAGUUUCAUUAAUAGCUCCCGUUUUGGGGUAGCCAUUGUAAAGUGCUUUGGUGUUUGCCCUCGAGGGGGUAAAUAUGCGGCAAGUGGAUAUAGAGGGAUAACCCUGGUCGCAGAAAUCGCCGAAAAGCCGAUGGAAAUACAAUUGGUAACGCCUUAUAUGGUCUUGUGGGCUGAUUGGGCAUAUAUUGUAUUACUUGAUAAGUUAUUAGGUUCGAAGAUAGAAGUGCAAAAAUAUGCAAGCAUGCUAUCUGAAUAUUAUUAUCAACUCGAUCUUGUUCGAGAAAAGCGACCAGUUUGUCCCGAAGCUUUGCGCAAUACAAAUAUGAAGUCAUUCUCCAGCAAGCUGACUAAAAGAAAUAAAAUUUUCGACGCAUUGGGUGCUCCGCUUUCUGCUUGUCAAUUUUGGAAUGAUCUUUCGGUUAACAAGCGUCUCAACACAGCAGCUCGCCGUGUUGUAUUCCGUACAGUCACCUCCAGAAAGACGAUGAAACAGAAGAAUCAUGAACCAAGUGUUAUCGACGUUGAUAAAAUUUUAAAACCCGAAACUGUUCACGAAAGCAAUGAAAAAGAGGCAAAUGUAAAGGGAAAUAAGCGGACUUUUAAAUCGCCUGUUUAUGUUUAUUAUUGACUUUUUUUUCAAACGCAAAUGCGUCUUUUUUUGACGAUGAACGAGUCCUUUCAAUGUUCUCUUUCUUCGUUGUGCAUUACGCGAAAAUAGUAUGGGUAUAUUUAAUAUAGCAAAGUUUCUGGAACAAUAUCCAAAAUGAAAAGUUGCGAUUUAUUUGUUGAUAGUAUCAUAGAUGAAGCGAUUUUUUGAUAAUAAAAAGACACUUGUUUUGGCGAGAAA